rnacentral:rRNA from 1 species
GAUGAACGCUAGCUACCGGUUUAACACAUGCAAGUCGAGGGGAAACGAUAUUGGAAGCUUGCUUCCGAUAGGCGUCGACCGGCGCACGGGUGAGUAACGCGUAUCCAACCUGCCCAUCACUUGGGAAUAACCUUGCGAAAGUAAGACUAAUGCCCAAUGACAUUUAUAGAAGGCAUCCGAAAUGAAUUAAAGAUUUAUCGGUGAUGGAUGGGGAUGCGUCUGAUUAGCUUGUUGGCGGGGUAACGGCCCACCAAGGCGACGAUCAGUAGGGGUUCUGAGAGGAAGGUCCCCCACAUUGGAACUGAGACACGGUCCAAACUCCUACGGGAGGCAGCAGUGAGGAAUAUUGGUCAAUGGGCGAGAGCCUGAACCAGCCAAGUAGCGUGCAGGAAGACGGCCCUAUGGGUUGUAAACUGCUUUUAUAGGGGAAUAAAGUGAGCCACGUGUGGUUUUUUGCAUGUACCCUAUGAAUAAGGACCGGCUAAUUCCGUGCCAGCAGCCGCGGUAAUACGGAAGGUCCGGGCGUUAUCCGGAUUUAUUGGGUUUAAAGGGAGCGUAGGCCGGAGAUUAAGCGUGUUGUGAAAUGUAGACGCUCAACGUCUGCACUGCAGCGCGAACUGGUUUCCUUGAGUACGCAUAAAGUGGGCGGAAUUCGUGGUGUAGCGGUGAAAUGCUUAGAUAUCACGAAGAACUCCGAUUGCGAAGGCAGCUCACUGGGGCGCAACUGACGCUGAAGCUC